GGUUACGCCCACAAAAACGGUCACACCAGCCAGCCGCCUUCAGACCGAGAGCCGGACACAGGGCUGCUGACCGCGAAGAGCGGGGCUGUGGGAGCGUGAGCGGGUCCAGUGACCGCUCGGGGGUCUGUGUUGAGCGCUUUCCCCCCGGCUGGCCCGUGUGUGGAGUCUUUCUUUCGUUUCGCGUGACACUAAUAGCCAGUUAGCCUGCAGCGGUCGCGCUCGUGACUGCGUUUCCUGCUGAUGGUGUGAGGUGCCGGGUUGUUUUCGGGCGCUGUUCAGUGCGGAGUGGGUCUGUUUAUCUCUCUGUGCUGCCGUCCUGCUGUCUGAGCCAUGGCCGAGGCCGAGCAGGUCGACGACGCCGAGCUGUCUCUCCGAGGAAUAAACAUGCUGCUCAACAACGGCUUCAAGGAGAGCGCCGAGCUUUUCCACAGAUACAGGAAUUACAGCCCUCUGAUGAGUUUUGGUGCUAGCUUUGUCAGUUUUCUGAACGCCAUGAUGACGUUUGAAGAAGAGAAGAUGCAGGUGGCGUAUGAGGACCUCCGGGCCACUGAGAGGCUGUGUGAAUGUGACAGCACUGGUGUCAUCGAGACCAUCAAAAACAAGAUCAGAAAGAGUCAGGUGGAUGGUCACAGAUCAGAGGUGGCCAUGAUGGAGCGACUGCAGAGGCUGAUCAUAGUGGCAGACUGCCAAGUCUACCUGGCUGUUCUUUCCUUCGUCAGACAGGAGCUCUCAGCAUAUAUUAAGGCUGGUUGGAUUCUUCGCAAAGCCUGGAAGAUGUACAAUAAAUGCUACAAUGACAUCAGUCAGCUACAGGAAGCCUGCCAGAGGAGGUCCUCUGCACCUCAAGGGGUGCUGUCCUCCGAUCAGGCCAAACCCAGUCAGAGUCCUCCACUACUGCCUGAACCCCAGGAGGAACACUCUACUGAUCUGCCCAAAGACAACCAGAAAUCUGCUCUACCUCCUGUAACAAAGGCUGCACAAUCUAAUAAACAUCCUGACCACCAGGAGGCACACACCUCCAGUAAACCCAAACACAGCCAGAAGGCACCCCUGCGGUACGAGGCCGGCUUGACAGCAGAGUCUCUGAGCCGACUGAAGGGUUCGGUCAGCUUCGGAUACGGCCUCUUCCACCUCUGCAUCUCCAUGGUGCCUCCUCACCUGCUCAAGAUCAUUAACCUGCUGGGCUUCCCUGGCGACCGGCAGCAGGGGCUAACGUCCCUCACGUAUGCGAGCGAAAGUAAGGACAUGAAGGCCCCUCUUGCUACACUUGCCCUCUUGUGGUACCACACGGUAGUACAGCCCUUCUUUGCACUGGACGGCUCAGAGACGGAGGCGGGGCUUCUGGCUGCCAAAGCCAUUCUUCAGAAGAAAGAAGCGGAAUACCCAGACUCCUCCCUCUUCAUAUUCUUCAAAGGCAGAGUGCUGCGGCUGGAGUGCCAAAUCAGCAGUGCCUUAACGUCCUUCAACAGUGCUUUGGAACUGGCUACAGGCCAGAGGGAGAUCCAGCAUAUUUGUCUCUAUGAGAUUGGUUGGUGCAGUAUGAUCGAGUUGAGCUUUACCGAUGCAUUCAAAGCGUUUGAUCGUCUGAGGACGGAGUCCCGUUGGUCCCAGUGUUACUACGCCUACCUCACUGGAGUGUGUCAGGGAGCAGCGGGUGAUCUGGACAGAGCAUGCUCUGUGCUUAAAGAUGCUGCUCGCCUCUUCAGGAGGAAGCACAACCAGAUUGAGCAGUUUUCCAUGAGGAAGGCGGAGGAUUUAAGAAAGCUCCCGCCUACAAGAGAGCGGUGCACUAUGGCAGCCAUCGAGGUGCUCUACCUUUGGAAAGCUCUGCCCAACAGCUCUACAUCCAAACUGCAGCUCAUGAUUGAAGUUUUACAGCAGAUGGAGGACUCUUCGUGUUCUGGUCUGAAUUACCUCCUGCUGGGCGCCGUGCACAAAUGCCUGGGCAACAGCCCAAACGCAGUGCAGUGCUUUCAGGUGGCUUUGAGAGAUGAGCAGGGGCGUCUAAAUAACUCUUAUGUGCAGCCUUAUUCUCUGUAUGAGCUGGGAUGCAUAUUUCUGGAAAGCCCGGAGCUCUCCCAUUUGUGUUGUUACUUAACCUACUGGUGGGCCCAAAGUUAAGUACAUCCUUCAGUACCAUUUUAGAAUAAGUUUACCCUUAUAAAGCAUUUAAGCAUGAUUUAAUAUUAGUUUUUAAUGGUUAUGAGUUAGGCCAUAAACACUUUAAAUACCAUUAAUAAGCAGUUAUAACACGUUAAUAAAUGUGAUAGAGAAUACAAGAUCAGUAAACGUCAGGUUUAACAUUAUAAAUGAAUAUGGGUUAACCAUAAAGCAAACAGGUUACUGUUGUCCUUUUUAUGUUUUAACUGCUCAUUAAUGAUUUUAAGGUCUGUAGGGCCUAAUUAAUAAUCAUUAAUAAACUCAUUUUCAACCAUUCAUGAACACUUUAUAAGGGUAAUCUUGUUUUAAGUGGUACCCACACUAUAAUGUAAGAAUAGCUUAGACAGUUUGAAUUGAAAUCCCUGUAGUUCCUGAAUAAUAAGCCUUAGUAUGUAGUCAGCCUGAGACUUUAAGUGGUUAUGGAUAUAUUUUUUUAAUGUUUAUGAGUCUGUGUAUGAUGUAUACUGUGCACCAGAACUGAUUUAGCUACUGAGCAGUGCUGUUUUUUUUGUUUCUUCUUCUUUUUAGUCUACAGCCAAAGGAAGAGCUCUUCUACUUCAAGCAAAGGAGGACUUUUCUGCGUAUGACUUUGAGAACAGGCUACACGUGCGAAUCCACACAGCAUUAGCCUCACUGAAAGAGGAAGCAUCCCAAUAACUAGACUUUUCAAGACUCCAUUCCUCUCCCCUUCCAGAAGCAAGAGCAAUAUGUUCUUGUGUAAUAAAAGAUUGACCGUUUGAGCGGCUCUCGUCUUGAACAAGGGGAAAGAAACAGAACGUCGAACAUCUGUAAAUGACUGAAGACCCGUGGGACAGCGUUGGCUGCACUGCACUGGAAGAACUAAUAUUGAACAUGACGCAGCGGUGUCCAAAAAAUGAAACGAACAUCCCCUUUAAACAGCGACAGAGGCGAUGGAUGGAACUGCCACCAUAGAAUGAAAUGAGGAGUCAAUAAAAACUUUAAUGAGAUUCAUCCAGUCAAGACAGCUUCUCACCAAAUGCCCUUUAACCCUUAGAAGUUGCGGUUAUCGCUGGCGAUAACAAGAGCAUAUUAUAAUUUGAUAUGAAUUAUUUCUGACUCGUAGCUCUUUGAAACAAAAGAAGACAUUUUUGUCAAAAGUGCAGUUUCCAGGCUACUUUUGUGUUUAUAAGAUUUCAUUGUAGUAUUGUAGUACAAUGGACAUGUAAUUACUUAUAAGGCUAACUACAUGAUUAAUUAUGUACAUACAUUUUAAUAGUACAGGAAAACAACUUUAACUUGACUUCUAAGGGUUAAAGCUGUCUGACUUUUCUGGACCCACACACAGCCCUUCAGUCCCUCCUCAUGAAAAAUACAGUAAGACACCCUUAGUUCUAAUCAACGGAACCAUUUGCGUUCUCUCCUCCAUUGUGAACUUUGCAUUUAAUGGAGUCAUAAGUCACCUGUUGGACGUAUUUUUCCACUCUGGACAUCCACCUUGAAUGUGGUCAGGUUUAAUGGCAGCUCUGCCCUUUUUCUAGUCUUUGUAUAAAUACCAGAGAGUAAGUAGCUCUCCUCUAAAGGAGCCUCUGUUACACUGGUGAUGAUUUUACACAAAAGCAAAGUAUGGCAUUAAUCGUCAAGAAUGAAUAUGGUUUAGUUGUUUGGACUGUAUUGUAUUAGUCUAGAUGCACAGUUAGACACUUACAGUGUAGACGAUGACGAAGUUGAAAGCAGUUCAGUAAUAAUUUUGUCUUUCACAAAUGAACUAUUUUACUUUAGAUGGAUACAAUAACAGCAUUUUUAAAUGAUUGUAUCUUUAGUAUCUUAAGUUCCUGCAGAAUUUGAGAAGGAUAGUGCAGGUGCAUCCAAGCUGUUCUCAAUUCUAAUAGUUCGAGAACUGAAUUGUCUGCUGCUGUUCUGGGUUACGGCCAUCUAACUGGCUUAGAUGUCUAAAAAUUGUCAUGUGAUUGUUGACAUUACUGUCCAACAGGAAUACGUUACUCACUUGCCGCACUGGCGUCCUCUAAGAACAGCAGACUGAAAGCAGACCGCAUGUUCACCCUCAGUUUUCCUUAUUGAUAGCUGAAGACAUGCGCUGAAAAAACUAAAAAGUUUGAGAAAACUCAAAAUGCAACAUCGUGCAUUAAGAUUUUUUGAUUUUUGUUUUCUCAACGGCUUCCGUUAGGCUGGCCGUAAAAUAGGAAUUGUUCGGAAAAAAAAGCAGAGCCUAUAUUAUAGCAUUUGCCAGACACUGGCUUCCAGUCUUAGAGAGGUAAGCUAUCGUAGCACUAGGAGUCUUGGUCACAGAUGCUUAUUAGUACAGCAUGGUGUGCUUAUCUGGGAGAGGUAUGAAACCCCAGUGUGCUGGGUGGAGUGUAGCGGUAUUACCUGCUGUGUUACACAAACUGCAGUCAGUGUUUGGAAUAGUGUAGUGGAUAACACUGCUACCCUCCACCUAGCAGACUGAUGCGUGAUUCUUGGCCUGAGACAGAACCAAGGGUCCCUGAAUAAGACUCUUAAUGCAUGUUAGCUACCUCUGUAACAUGGUUAGACUGUAAGUCUGAUGAUGGACGAUGGUGUCUUCCAACAGAUGUUAAUGUAAUGUUUCCCCUUUUUAAAAAUAUAUGUUAUUUACAGUCUAAUGCUGAAUGAACAUACUGAAGUUAAACAGAAUAACCUUAGUAAGAGUGAAGACCACGCAAUCUGCUGAUGAGAAAAUCUUCUGUCUGGGCCGUGGUUAAAAUGACUUGAAAUUCAUUGCCAAAAUACUGAAUUACAGUGUUUUACAGAUAAUCAGAUAAGUUGAUUAACAUGGAGGGUGUGGCUUUAAGACACUAGCUACAGCACUGUCAGUGGAUGCAGUUUGCUUAAAGAUGUUUCUGAUUUUCUGAUUUAAUGAAUGAGGCUCAACAGUAGGUGUUGAAUGUAAUUUAUGUUGUAGAUCUAACUCUUGACCUCAACUUUUGAAAUGUAAACAGUUGAACACUGUGUGGCCUCUGUUCUUGACCCAUCAGUAAAGAUCUUUUAGAAUGGAGAACUUAUUAUAA